UACGGAGGUGGCAAGCGUUACUCGGAAUCAUUGGGUGUAAAGGGCAAGUAGGCGGUCUAAUAAGUGAGGGGUGAAAUCCCGCGACUCAAUCGCGGAACUGCCUUCAAACUGCUAGACUUGAGGUAAGAAGAGGAAAAUGGAAUUCUCGGUGUAAGGUGAAAGUCUGUAGAUAUCGAGAAGAACACCAAACAGGCGAAGGCAAUUUUCUA
rnacentral:rRNA from 1 species